CAUUCGAUGUUCUUGGCAGGAAACCAUUGGUAUCAGGAAUUGGUGGAGGUGGAGGUGGGUGAGGCGGUUGUCGUCCAGGGUUUAUGCUCUCUAAAAGGGUCGUUGGCUCUUUUAAAUACAAAAAAAAAGAAAUACAAAAUGAGAAUGUUAUGAAAACUUCUGAUCGCUGGCUGACUUGUUCAACAAAAAUGAUGUAAUAUAAUGGAGAUAUUUUGUCAUUCAUGUUUAUAUGAUAUUACACCCUUUAAAGACUAUCUACAUAUUUACUUAAACAUGUCUAAUUUAUUUUGAAUGGUUUCAUAUUGUUUUCAAACUCUAUCAGGAUCAUUUCAUUUCGAGUUUAUGCUGAAAUUAGAAGACGAAAAUUGGAAAUACAUACUUUUAUUAUGGUAACUUGGAUCACUUUUUUUCGCUUUGUUAUAAAAGGAAACAGCGCACAUAACACUGUACAAUCGGAGUAGUGUUAAUAGGCCAAUGAUGGUUGCCACGAAUAUAUCAGUUGUACCUGAACUUGACUUUAUAUAUGGACAGGAGAAAAGGGGAAAACAAGAAAAAUGAAUAAGAUAAACAUGCCAAUAAUGCGAUUUGUAAAUAACCUGAAUAUUUUUUGGCUUUUGUUUUUGUUUGAUCAUCAAGUAAACAAAAGAGACAAAAGGCAGGAUUGCGACUAAAAAAAUCAAAAUGAGAAAAGCAAUCAAGCAAUCAUCAAGAACCAACAAGAGAUCAACAAUAAGAUACAAAAAAACAACAACUUGUUAGAUGCACCAACUGGCGUCAAGCAAAUAUCAAAUCUUCAACUCUCAAUUACAAUGUAAAUUUUACCGACACGAACCGUUUGAUUGAUCACUAUUGCUAUCAAAGGUUAAUUUAUGAAUCUGAUCUACACCAAAGGCUCUAAAUACUAUCAUGAUGAUCAAGCGUUUAUAAAAGAUUCAACACCAAUUGACAGUAAUAUAAUUGUAAUACAUGAUAAGAGUUGCACUAUUAUUAUUUAGUAGGUGGAUCGAGUUUAGUGUGUGAGCGUGUAAUUUAUUUUGAAGCGUAUUUUCGUUGUGUGCAAAUUGCUUAGGUUGAAAUAUUCUUGUUAAUCAACCAAAUUUCUCAUAUUAUUGACAACUUAAUGAAUCAUUCGAUUUUAUUCGUUAGCCAUUUUUGGAUACUCAUUUCAAUGUUAAGUGUUUACCAAAUUGUAUUGAACAUAUUUAUCACAAAUAGAGCUGCAUUUUGAAGGGGAACCACGAAAAUAACCAAAGGCCUAAGAUUCCUAUUCCAUUAUCAAUCAAUAUUCAACUAGUAAAUUGAUUUCCUUAUUUACUAUUUAUCCAAAUUCAUCACUGGAUAUUUUAUUUCAAUAAUUAUCAUCUUGGACGAAUUUCAUGCCAGAUAUUCGUAAUAGAGUUUCGUGAAAGU